UUUAUAUAUGUAUAUAAAAUGUAUAAGGCUAUAAAUAACAAAUUUUCUUUUUUCCCCUCCCUUCCUUCAGGAGAGCUGUGCUUGAUGGGAAAAGAGCCAUAGUUCUCAAGCCUGACUGGCCAAAGGUACUGAGCAGAGAGAGAAGGCGAGGAAGGAUCUGCCAGAGAAAAAGGACCGAAAUUCCUCCAAAUCCCCCCCAGGGAAUUGCCGGGAGCAGAAAGGAGCAGCGAGGGAGAGGAGGAGGAGCCGGGAUGAGCCCGAGGGGGCGGAAAUGCAGGAAAAGGUGACCGAGCCCCAGAGGGCAGAAGGCAAAGGUUCCACGCUGGAGCAGCCUCCGAGUGAGUUUUAUUUUGCUUUUUUUUCCUUUUAAUCAAGUCUGAGCCACUUCUUCCUCUGCUGUGCCGUAAUUAAUGACCAGAAGUUAAUUUCCUGUCAUUUCCACAACAAUGAGCAAUCAGCUUUUACUUCUUCCUUUGACACUUCUCUGUUUCUGUCUCAAUUCCUCAGUGCUUUUGCAAUUUCAAUCUCCUUGACUGAAUCCAGAACUGAAACUGGAAUUAAAGAGUAAAAUCUGAAAAUGCUUUCCCUCCUCCUGACAAAUUAAACAGGAAUUCUUUAUUUCAAUAUUUACAAUUCAUUUGUGGUUAACAAAUGCUCCAUCAAAAAAUAAUUCUGCAGGUGUAGAGGAAAGAGGCCAUGAAAUAUUUGUCAGGGUGGAUUUUUAGCUGCAGACUUGCAGAGUUGUGUGGUUUCUUGCUCAUGUUUGGG
rnacentral:lncRNA from 1 species